rnacentral:rRNA from 1 species
UACGUAGGGGGCUAGCGUUGUCCGGAAUCAUUGGGCGUAAAGAGCGUGUAGGCGGCCCGGUAAGUCCGCUGUAAAAGUCAAAGGCUCAACCUUUGAAUGUCAGUGGAUACUGCCGGGCUAGAGUCCGGAAGAGGCGAGUGGAACUCCUGGUGUAGCGGUGGAAUGCGCAGAUAUAAGGAAGAACACCAACGGCGAAGGCAGCUCGCUAGGACGGUACUGACGCUGAGACGCGAAAGCGUGGGGAGCGAACAGG